CUUAUCCUUUGUUGCCAGCGGUUAGGCCGGGAACUCAAAGGAGACUGCCAGUGAUAAACUGGAGGAAGGUGGGGAUGACGUCAAGUCAUCAUGGCCCUUACGACCAGGGCUACACACGUGCUACAAUGGCAUAUACAAAGAGAAGCGACCUCGCGAGAGCAAGCGGACCUCAUAAAGUAUGUCGUAGUCCGGAUUGGAGUCUGCAACUCGACUCCAUGAAGUCGGAAUCGCUAGUAAUCGUAGAUCAGAAUGCUACGGUGAAUACGUUCCCGGGCCUUGUACACACCGCCCGUCACACCAUGGGAGUGGGUUGCAAAAGAAGUAGGUAGCUUAACCUCGGGAGGGCGCU
rnacentral:rRNA from 1 species